GACAGAGGGGGCAAGCGUUGCUCGGAAUUACUGGGCGUAAAGGGCGCGUAGGCGGGAUGGCAAGUCGGUCGUGAAAUCCCUCGGCUCAACCGAGGAACGUCGAUCGAUACUGCUGUUCUUGAGGAUUGCAGAGGAGACUGGAAUUCCUGGUGUAGCGGUGAAAUGCGCAGAUAUCAGGAAGAACACCCGUGGCGAAGGCGGCUCUCUGGGACGGUACUGACGCUGAGACGCGAAAGCGUGGGGAGCGAACAGG
rnacentral:rRNA from 1 species